rnacentral:rRNA from 1 species
AACGAACGCUGGCGGCAGGCUUAACACAUGCAAGUCGAGCGCCCCGCAAGGGGAGCGGCAGACGGGUGAGUAACACGUGGGAAUCUACCCAUCCCUGCGGAACAACUCCGGGAAACUGGAGCUAAUACCGCAUACGCCCUCCGGGGGAAAGAUUUAUCGGGGAUGGAUGAGCCCGCGUUGGAUUAGCUAGUUGGUGGGGUAAAGGCCUACCAAGGCGACGAUCCAUAGCUGGUCUGAGAGGAUGAUCAGCCACAUUGGGAAUGAGACACGGCCCAAACUCCUACGGGAGGCAGCAGUGGGGAAUAUUGGACAAUGGGCGCAAGCCUGAUCCAGCCAUGCCGCGUGAGUGAUGAAGGCCUUAGGGUUGUAAAGCUCUUUCACCGAUGAAGAUAAUGACGGUAGUCGGAGAAGAAGCCCCGGCUAACUUCGUGCCAGCCGCCGCCGUAA